GAGGUAUCAGAAGUGCGAAUGCUGACAUAAGUAACGAUAAAGCGGGUGAAAAGCCCGCUCGCCGGAAGACCAAGGGUUCCUGUCCAACGUUAAUCGGGGCAGGGUGAGUCGACCCCUAAGGCGAGGCCGAAAGGCGUAGUCGAUGGGAAACAGGUUAAUAUUCCUGUACUUGGUGUUACUGCGAAGGGGGGACGGAGAAGGCUAUGUUGGCCGGGCGACGGUUGUCCCGGUUUAAGCGUGUAGGCUGGUUUUCCAGGCAAAUCCGGAAAAUCAAGGCUGAGGCGUGAUGACGAGGCACUACGGUGCUGAAGCAACAAAUGCCCUGCUUCCAGGAAAAGCCUCUAAGCAUCAGGUAACAUCAAAUCGUACCCCAAACCGACACAGGUGGUCAGGUAGAGAAUACCAAGGCGCUUGAGAGAACUCGGGUGAAGGAACUAGGCAAAAUGGUGCCGUAACUUCGGGAGAAGGCACGCUGAUAUGUAGGUGAAGUCCCUCGCGGAUGGAGCUGAAAUCAGUCGAAGAUACCAGCUGGCUGCAACUGUUUAUUAAAAACACAGCACUGUGCAAACACGAAAGUGGACGUAUACGGUGUGACGCCUGCCCGGUGCCGGAAGGUUAAUUGAUGGGGUCAGCGCAAGCGAAGCUCUUGAUCGAAGCCCCGGUAAACGGCGGCCGUAACUAUAACGGUCCUAAGGUAGCGAAAUUCCUUGUCGGGUAAGUUCCGACCUGCACGAAUGGCGUAAUGAUGGCCAGGCUGUCUCCACCCGAGACUCAGUGAAAUUGAACUCGCUGUGAAGAUGCAGUGUACCCGCGGCAAGACGGAAAGACCCCGUGAACCUUUACUAUAGCUUGACACUGAACAUUGAGCCUUGAUGUGUAGGAUAGGUGGGAGGCUUUGAAGUGUGGACGCCAGUCUGCAUGGAGCCGACCUUGAAAUACCACCCUUUAAUGUUUGAUGUUCUAACGUGGACCCGUGAUCCGGGUUGCGGACAGUGUCUGGUGGGUAGUUUGACUGGGGCGGUCUCCUCCUAAAGAGUAACGGAGGAGCACGAAGGUUGGCUAAUCCUGGUCGGACAUCAGGAGGUUAGUGCAAUGGCAUAAGCCAGCUUGACUGCGAGCGUGACGGCGCGAGCAGGUGCGAAAGCAGGUCAUAGUGAUCCGGUGGUUCUGAAUGGAAGGGCCAUCGCUCAACGGAUAAAAGGUACUCCGGGGAUAACAGGCUGAUACCGCCCAAGAGUUCAUAUCGACGGCGGUGUUUGGCACCUCGAUGUCGGCUCAUCACAUCCUGGGGCUGAAGUAGGUCCCAAGGGUAUGGCUGUUCGCCAUUUAAAGUGGUACGCGAGCUGGGUUUAGAACGUCGUGAGACAGUUCGGUCCCUAUCUGCCGUGGGCGCUGGAGAACUGAGGGGGGCUGCUCCUAGUACGAGAGGACCGGAGUGGACGCAUCACUGGUGUUCGGGUUGUCAUGCCAAUGGCACUGCCCGGUAGCUAAAUGCGGAAGAGAUAAGUGCUGAAAGCAUCUAAGCACGAAACUUGCCCCGAGAUGAGUUCUCCCUGACCCUUUAAGGGUCCUGAAGGAACGUUGAAGACGACGACGUUGAUAGGCCGGGUGUGUAAGCGCAGCGAUGCGUUGAGCUAACCGGUACUAAUGAACCGUGAGGCUUAACCUU
rnacentral:rRNA from 1 species